rnacentral:tRNA from 1 species
GAUUGGUUAGUUUAAGUAAAACAUAAAUUUUGUAAAUUUAAAAUUAAUUAAAUA